ACGAACGCUGGCGGCGUGCUUAACACAUGCAAGUCGAACGGAAAGGCCCUGCUUGCAGGGUCCUCGAGUGGCGAACGGGUGAGUAACACGUGGGUGAUCUGCCCUGCACUUCGGGAUAAGCCUGGGAAACUGGGUCUAAUACCGGAUAUGACCUUCCAUGUAGUGUGGGGGGUGGAAAGAUUUAUCGGUGUGGGAUGAGCCCGCGGCCUAUCAGCUUGUUGGUGGGGUAAUGGCCUACCAAGGCGUCGACGGGUAGCCGGCCUGAGAGGGUGGACGGCCACAUUGGGACUGAGAUACGGCCCAGACUCCUACGGGAGGCAGCAGUGGGGAAUAUUGCACAAUGGGCGGAAGCCUUAUGCAGCGACGCCGCGUGGGGGAUGACGGCCUUCGGGUUGUAAACCUCUUUCGACAGGGACGAAGCUUCGGUGACGGUACCUGUAUAAGAAGCACCGGCUAACUACGUG
rnacentral:rRNA from 1 species